AGAGAGACACGGUGAGCCACAGUUAGAAGAAAAACCCUUGAUUAAUACAGUUUACUCUAAAGCUGAGUUUUGCCAACAGCAAAAAGGAUGAUGUACCAUUGUCAUCCUUUUCCCAAAAAAGAAAGGGAUGACGCUACAACAACGAACACCGUGUAAUGCUGGUCGCAUCGAGCUUUUGAAGGCCCGAGAUCGCGACCAGAUCCACUGCAGACGGAGAUUCGGACUCGGAUUACAAUGAGCCUGAUCCGGAUGCAUCCUUAUCUGGGAGCAGCAGCGCAUCCUCAAAGUUCCCAGAAAGUCACCGAAGAGUUGGUGCAACCAGCAGCAGAUGCACUCCCACUCCUGCUGGCAAGAAGGUGAAAAAAAGUGUUUUUCUCCACACUGCAGCAAUGUUUCAUUUUUAUCCUAAUUGUUUAGUUUGUAUCAUUUUAUCAAGUAGUGGUGGGGCUGUUCAUGGCUGGUCGUCUACUGACUGGGAACCCACAUAAGUCCCGCACGUACACAUACACAGCUGUGCAUAUUUCAAAGUUCAUGCAUCAAUUUGAAAAUGCAUGUGUUGUACUUCUACAUAAAAUGGUAUUUUACAAUCAAUAUACACUUUUUUGUCUUUUAUGUUGUUAUAUUCGGACUUGGAUUACAAUGAGCCUGAUCCAGCUGCCUUGUGUCAACCGUCGAGACCUUUAAGUUCCUGGGAAUUACAAUUUCUCAGGACCUGAAGUGGGUGCCCAACAUCAACUCCGUCCUCAAAAAGGCCCAGCAGAGGAUGUACUUCCUGCGGCUUCUGAGAAAGCACGGCCUGCCACUGGAGCUGCUGAGACAGUUCUACACAGCGGUCAUCGAAUCAGUCCUGUGUUCUUCCAUCACAGUCUGGUUUGGUGCUGCUACAAAAAAGGACAAACUCCGACUGCAACGGACAAUCAAAACUGCUGAAAGGAUUGUCGGUACCCCCUUACCUACCCUUGAGGACUUGCACGCUGCCAGAACUAAGACAAGGGCGUGCAAAAUCCUCUCGGACCCUCCGCACCCCGGUCACCAGCUCUUCCAGCUCGUUCCCUCAGGUGAAGAGCUUGCCUUCAGCGCACCAACAAGACAGUCUUGCAGACCUGGUGAGGUGUUCCUGUUAUGUCCCACUGGAUUGAAGGCCCUGGGGAUGACCCAGGAAACACUGGAGAGACUGUUUCCCAACUUGCCUAGGAACGCCGCAGGAUCCCCCCAGAAGAGUUGGACGAACUGGCUAGUGAGAGGAAAGUCUGGGAUACUCUAUUUAAGCUAAAGCCCCCGCGAUGGAGAGGAAAAUGGAUUGAUGAACAAAAUAAUACUGAGAAUAGCUGACUGACAUUUUUUAAUUUUCUAAUACCCCCGAUGACGAAUGAAGUUCAAACUGAAAAGCUGACUAUGACAUUUUUGAUUUUCCAAUACCCCUGAUGACGAAGGAAGUUCAAACUGAAAAGCUAUGACAUUUUUAAUUUUCUAAUACCACCGAUGACAAAUGAAGUUCAAACUGUUGAGCGACAUGUAGUUUCUUUAUAGUUUGCUGCGUUCCCUGUUAGAUAAGCCCAUUCAUGAAAUGUAAUACUUGCUUUAACUGAACUCCCAACCCUAAGCUCAUUCUGUAAACAUUUGAAGAAGUGAAUAAUCAUAAUGCCAUCUCACAUUGCAGUUUAAUUCUGCCUAUUUGUUGUGAUUUUAUGGUGUUUUAUUCAUUAAAUAUUUUUGUUAUUCAGGGACCAUCCACCAGUCAAAGGACUAAAGAUGGAAAUCAGCCCUGGGCUACAAUCUUGUAUAUCAAAUAUGUUUUAUAUUAUCCGUCCCUAUUUAUAAAUAAACUUCAACCUUGAA